GGGCCCGCACAAGCGGAGGAACAUGUGGUUUAAUUCGAUGAUACGCGAGGAACCUUACCUGGGCUCGAACGCCCACCGACGGCACCGGAGACGGUGCUCUCCAGCGAUGGCGGUGGGCGAGGUGCUGCAUGGUUGUCGUCAGCUCGUGCCGUGAGGUGUCGGGUUAAGUCCCAUAACGAGCGCAACCCUUACUGCCAGUUGCCAUCGGGUGAAGCCGGGGACUCUGGCGGGACUGCCGGCGUAAGCCGUGAGGAGGGUGGGGAUGACGUCAAAUCAGCACGGCCCUUACGUCCAGGGCUACACACGUGUUACAAUGGCCGGUACAGAGGGCAGCCACCCCGCGAGGGGGCGCCAAUCCCGAAAUCCGGUCCCAGUUCGGAUUGGGGUCUGCAACCCGACCCCAUGAAGUUGGAUUCGCUAGUAAUCGCGCAUCAGCCACGGCGCGGUGAAUACGUUCCCGGGCCUU
rnacentral:rRNA from 1 species